GUGCCUGUGGCUCAAAGGAGUAGGGUGCUGGCCUGAUAAGCCAGGGGUGGUUGGUUCAAACUCAGCCCCACCC
rnacentral:tRNA from 1 species